CGUAGGGCGUAGCGUUAUCCGGAAUUACUGGGCGUAAAGGGUGCGUAGGUGGUUUCUUAAGUCAGAGGUGAAAGGCUACGGCUCAACCGUAGUAAGCCUUUGAAACUGGGAAACUUGAGUGCAGGAGAGGAGAGUGGAAUUCCUAGUGUAGCGGUGAAAUGCGUAGAUAUUAGGAGGAACACCAGUUGCGAAGGCGGCUCUCUGGACUGUAACUGACACUGAGGCACGAAAGCGUGGGGAGCAAACAGGAUU
rnacentral:rRNA from 1 species